GAUGAACGCUGGCGGCGUGCUUAACACAUGCAAGUCGAACGUGAGAAUAGCAAUAUUUGAAAGUGGCAAACGGGUGAGUAACACGUGGGAACCUGCCUCGAAGUGGGGGAUAACGAUUGGAAACGGUCGCUAAUACCGCACGGUUCUGCUCUGAUGGGAAUGGAGCAGAUAAAGAUUUAUCGCUUUGAGAGGGGCCCGCGGCCGAUUAGCUAGUUGGUAAGGUAAAGGCUUACCAAGGCGAUUAUCGGUAGCUGGUCUGAGAGGACGAUCAGCCACACGGGAACUGAGACACGGUCCCGACUCCUACGGGGGGCAGCAGUGAGGAAUAUUGGGCAAUGGGCGAAAGCCUGACCCAGCAACGCCGCGUGGAGGAUGAAGGCUUUAGGGUUGUAAACUCCUUUUGUGGGGGAAGAGGAAGGACGGUACCCCGAGAAUAAGUCACGGCUAACUACGUG
rnacentral:rRNA from 1 species